UGAGGAAUAUUGGUCAAUGGACGAGAGUCUGAACCAGCCAAGUCGCGUGCAGGAAGAAUGUCCUAUGGAUUGUAAACUGCUUUUGUAUGGGAAUAAAGUGAGGUACGUGUACCUUAUUGUAUGUACCAUUCGAAUAAGGAUCGGCUAACUCCGUGCCAGCAGCCGCGGUAAUACGGAGGAUCCAAGCGUUAUCCGGAUUUAUUGGGUUUAAAGGGUGCGUAGGCGGGCCUUUAAGUCAGUGGUGAAAGUUUGCAGCUCAACUGUAAAAUUGCCGUUGAAACUGAAGGUCUUGAGUGUAAAUAAGGUAGGCGGAAUGUGUUGUGUAGCGGUGAAAUGCAUAGAUAUAACACAGAACCCCAAUUGCGAAGGCAGCUUACUGGGAUACAACUGACGCUGAGGCACGAAAGCGUGGGGAUCAAACAGG
rnacentral:rRNA from 2 species